rnacentral:rRNA from 1 species
CAGCCGCCGCGGUAAAACGGAGGGGGCUAGCGUUGUUCGGAAUUACUGGGCGUAAAGCGCACGUAGGCGGCUUGGUAAGUUAGAGGUGAAAGCCUGGAGCUCAACUCCAGAAUUGCCUUUAAGACUGCCGAGCUAGCAGGUGAGAGAGGUAAGUGGAAUUCCGAGUGUAGAGGUGAAAUUCGUAGAUAUUCGGAAGAACACCAGUGGCGAAGGCGACUAUCUGGGCCAACACUGACACUGAGACACGAAAGCGUGGGGAGCAAACAGGAUUAGAUACCCGCGUAGUCCCUGUCUCUUAUAC